rnacentral:lncRNA from 1 species
GUUCUCACUGCAGGAAGAAAAGGACCCCCUCCCAGAUUUCUUUUCCCCCUUUAUUGGCCGAAGGCUUUCAUGCUCUCUGCAAAGGGAGAGUAACCCUCACAUAGGAAGAGAUCAAGCGCUUUUAUCCUCAGAAACUCCUUUCCUAAGCCAGAUAUUCGCAUUUCCAAGCCUUUCCUCUCUAACUGUAGGAGGUGAGGCUUUGUCUCCAGUGAAGGAACUCGGGCCAUAGGAAGCAGCCUCAGUAUUUUGUCUGUAAAAUGGGGAUGAUGCGUUCUUCAUGGAUUGCCCUAAGGAUUCCAAGAAAUCGUGUUUGCCUGGAGCACAAGUGCUCAGUCAAAGGAACCAGGAGACCUUGGAGGGUUGAAGCAGGAAAGUACAAGAUGAGCCUGGAACAUCUUGUGGUGCCAGAAGAUAAGUAACCAUUUUGCUGAGAUGCCAACAAAUGAUGGGAACUCGUCCAAGAGACACAGGGGCCAACCUGGAAGGGCUUCUGAGGGACAAUUGGAGCAACAAGAUAAAUCAUGGUAGUAAUGGAUUGUGAGCCAUGAAUCCAAAUCUACAGACAAAUGAACAAUAGAGGAGGAGGGGAAGCUCCUCCUCACA